rnacentral:rRNA from 1 species
GACGAACGCUGGCGGCGUGCUUAACACAUGCAAGUCGAACGAUGAACCGGAGCUUGCUCUGGGGAUUAGUGGCGAACGGGUGAGUAACACGUGGGCAACCUGCCCCAGACACCGGGAUAACCAUUCGAAAGGAUGGCUAAUACCGGAUACGACCACUUCGGGCAUCCGAUGGUGGUGGAAAGGAUUCUGGUCUGGGAUGGGCCCGCGGCCUAUCAGCUUGUUGGUGGGGUAAUGGCCUACCAAGGCGACGACGGGUAGCCGGCCUGAGAGGGCGGACGGCCACACGGGGACUGGGACACGGCCCAGACUCCUACGGGAGGCAGCAGUGGGGAAUAUUGCGCAAUGGGCGAAAGCCUGACGCAGCGACGCCGCGUGAGGGACGAAGGUCUUCGGAUUGUAAACCGCUUUCAGCAGGGAUGAAGCGAAAGUGACGGUACCUGCAGAAGAAGCACCGGCUAACUACGUGCCAGCAGCCGCGGUAAAAC